rnacentral:rRNA from 1 species
UACGAAGGGGGCGAGCGUUGUUCGGAAUUACUGGGCGUAAAGGGCGCGUAGGCGGCUAGUCGAGUCAGGCGUGAAAAUCCCGGGCUUAACCUGGGGACUGCGCAUGAUACUGACUGGCUUGAAUGCGGGAGAGGAUGGCGGAAUUCCCAGUGUAGAGGUGAAAUUCGUAGAUAUUGGGAAGAACACCGGUGGCGAAGGCGGCCAUCUGGCCCGUGAUUGACGCUGAGGCGCGAAAGCGUGGGUAGCAAACAGG